UACGUAGGGUGCAAGCGUUAAUCGGAAUUACUGGGCGUAAAGCGUGCGCAGGCGGUUAUGCAAGACAGAUGUGAAAUCCCCGGGCUCAACCUGGGAACUGCAUCUGUGACUGCAUCGCUGGAGUGCGGCAGAGGGGGAUGGAAUUCCGCGUGUAGCAGUGAAAUGCGUAGAUAUGCGGAGGAACACCGAUGGCGAAGGCAAUCCCCUGGGCCUGCACUGACGCUCAUGCACGAAAGCGUGGGGAUCAAACAGG
rnacentral:rRNA from 1 species